rnacentral:tRNA from 1 species
GGGAGUUUAGCUCAGCUGGGAGAGCAUCUGCCUUACAAGCAGAGGGUCAGCGGUUCGAUCCNGUUAACUCCCA